rnacentral:tRNA from 1 species
GGGGAUGUGGCUCAAGCGGUAGCGCACACACCUGGCGUGUGUGCGGCCCGGGUUCGAUCCUCAGCACCACA